UAGCGAAGGGGGCUAGCGUUGUUCGGAAGUUACUGGGCGUAAAGCGGCGCGCAGGCGGUCUUCCAAGUCAGUGGUGAAAGCCCGGAGCUCAACUCCGGAACUGCCAUUGAAACUGUGAGGACUCGAGUCCGAUAGAGGUGAGUGGAAUUCCUAGUGUAGAGGUGAAAUUCGUAGAUAUUAGGAAGAACACCAGUGGCGAAGGCGGCUCACGUGGAUCGGUACUGACGCUGAGGUGCGAAAGCGUGGG
rnacentral:rRNA from 1 species